rnacentral:rRNA from 1 species
UAACGGAUCUUCCGCAAUGCGCGAAAGCGUGACGGAGCAAUGCCGCGUGUAGGAUGAAGCCCCUCGGGGUGUAAACUACUGUCAGGACUCAGGAAUAUUGACCAAGUCCAAAGGAAGGGCCGGCUAACUUCGUG